UGCUAGGUAGGCAGCUGUGGCAUCCUCACU
rnacentral:piRNA from 1 species